rnacentral:misc_RNA from 1 species
AUUAAGUGGCAAAUAAACAGGCGGACAUCAAAAAUACAAGCAGCUUAUAAAUUGAUUCCCACAGACUGAAAGAUGGUUUAUGUUAUUUGCUCAUAAACGUACAAAUUUUAUUGCAAAUAUAUAGGAAAAACACAUUGUUAAGAUGAUGUUCAAUUGUAUCACAUGAACAAUAAAUUUAAAGCAAUUUAGCAUAUUCACUUCAAUAGCAUAAACUGAUCUAGAACAUUAAAAUUCAAAACUCAAGCAAAUAGGUUCCAUAAAA